rnacentral:rRNA from 1 species
CCUACGGGAGGCAGCAGUGAGGAAUAUUGGUCAAUGGGAGAGAUCCUGAACCAGCCAAGCCGCGUGAGGGAAGACGGCCCUAUGGGUUGUAAACCUCUUUUGUCGGAGAACAAAACCCGGGACGUGUCCCGGACUGCGUGUAUCCGAAGAAAAAGCAUCGGCUAACUCCGUGCCAGCAGCCGCGGUAAUACGGGGGAUGCGAGCGUUAUCCGGAUUUAUUGGGUUUAAAGGGUGCGUAGGCGGUACGUUAAGUCAGCGGUAAACUUGCGGGGCCCAACCCCGUCGAGCCGUUGAAACUGGCAGACUUGAGUUGGCGAGAAGUACGCAGAAUGCGCGGUGUAGCGGUGAAAUGCAUAGAUAUCGCGCAGAACUCCGAUUGCGAAGGCAGCGUACCGGCGCCAGACUGACGCUGAGGCACGAAAGCGUGGGGAUCGAACAGGAUUAGAUACCCUUGUAGUC